rnacentral:lncRNA from 1 species
GAGGAAAUGAGACAGGAUGGGUUGGAGAGAUACCAAAAGGACAGAUGAUAGAAGCCAUGCUGAAGUGUUUGAGCUUUGUCCUCAGGAUCACUGGGAGAAUAGCAGGAAGUGACAUAGAAGGCAGACUCAUAUAUAAGCAAGGGCAAGAAGGAAGUCGUUCUUUUCUCUCUCUUCCUCCUACUCUCUGCUCUGGAGCUGCCAUGUGAUCGCUGCAAGAGAAGACACCAGCAGCUGGCGUCUGAUAAGAUAAGUCUUUAUGGUUGAUAAUUAAGACUAGCAUAUCAGAAUUCCUAGUCUUUGACCAAGCAGCAUUUGUAACAAAUAUAAACCUCUAUGUGUUAUUUGGGGCCCUAACAUGGUGGGCAGAAUCGGGUGGCUUUGGAGUAAAGAUUUAUCAUAACAUCACCAUUGCACCUUAAGGAUAUCUUGCCACAUUCGUCUUAGUCCUUAAGAGGAGGGCCUAUAGCUGUUGUUUCUCUAAAUGUUCAUGUUGUCAAAUUGCUUUCUAGAUAUUUACAUGUAUAUCCAUAGAUUUUGUUGCUCCAAGUCUUGGUGAGAAGGGUAUCUUGCUGCAUUGUGUAAUAGCUAAUCAGAGACUCAUCACUGUGCAAAAGGCUGGAGUGAUUGAUGGUGAGCAUUCAGCCAUAGAUAUCACCUCGAUGACAAUGUCCUGCCCCAAAGCUCAGGAUACAUCUCAGAAGAAGGUGUGGAAAGAACCAACAGCUGGAGGACCAGGAGGAGGGCCAUAAAAUGCUGCCCUCCCCACAUGAUGAGAUUGUUGCAUCAAGUUAGUAAAAAAUUCCAGCAUGGUGACCUGAUCUCAUGGAAGCUCAUAGACUCUGGACCACCAGUUAGGGAGCCUGCAUGGAACCAGCCUAGGCCCUCUACAUGUCUGUGAUAGUUGUGUAGCUAUGUCUGUUUGUAAGGUUCCUAGCAGUGAGAUCAGGACUUGUCCCUGGUGAUUAGCUGGCUUUUGGGAACCCUUUCCCCAUGCUGGAUUACCUAGCCCAGCCUUGAUACAGGGUGAGGAGCUAGGUCCUGCCUUAACUUGAUGUACUAUGGUUUGUUCAAACCCAUGGGAGGCCUUCCCCUUCCUGAAUGGAGAUGGAGGAGGAGUGGAUAGGAA